GGGGAAUGGUUGGGCCUCAGGGCU
rnacentral:piRNA from 1 species